GACACGAGGAACAGACACCGUCUGAGCAGUGGCCCGAUCCCGCGGGGUCACCUACAGCCGGAAUACACCCUCCAGAAAGGACACGGCAUUCCCAAAAUUCCAGGUUUUGGGCAGUCAGUACCUGAGGGGCUUUACCGAUUCCAUUGGCCGGACCCUGAGCUGCCUGAUGGGGGUAUUUAUGAGGAUGUGAGUGACGACCCGCCCGGGAAAGGCCCUCACUGUCCCCCUGGCAGUAAACCCCAGGGUCAGGGUCAGGGUCAGCUGGAAUGCCCGGGGCCUGGUUUACGUGUUUACGACGAGCCAUUUGAAUUGUGGGGGGAGCUGGUCUGAUCUCUGCAGCCUGCAGUCUCCAUGUCUGGGAGCUGGAGGUGGAAUCGCAGCAUGAAUAUUGACCCUGCUUCUCCAUGACCCGUCUGCAAUCUCCUGCCAUAGCCCUGAUUGUGCGAACCCUCGCCACCAGCCCACGCCUGCUACCCCCAGCUAUACCACAGGACCCUCCCAUCUCCGUUCCCUCUGUUUAUUCACAUCACUGAGUCACAACCAAUAAAGUUCUGCAUU